GACGAACGCUGGCGGCGUGCUUAACACAUGCCAGUCGAACGGAAAGGCCCUGCUUUUGUGGGGUGCUCGAGUGGCGAACGGGUGAGUAACACGUGAGUAACCUGCCCUUGACUUUGGGAUAACUUCAGGAAACUGGGGCUAAUACAGGAUAGGAGCUCCUGCUGCAUGGUGGGGGUUGGAAAGUUUCGGCGGUUGGGGAUGGACUCGCGGCUUAUCAGCUUGUUGGUGGGGUAGUGGCUUACCAAGGCUUUGACGGGUAGCCGGCCUGAGAGGGUGACCGGCCACAUGGGGACUGAGAGACGGCCCAGACGCCUACGGGAGGCAGCAGUGGGGAAUAUUGCACAAUGGGCGGAAGCCUGAUGCAGCAACGCCGCGUGCGGGAUGACGGCCUUCGGGUUGUAAACCGCUUUCGCCGGUGACGAAGCGGGAGUGACGGUAAUGGGUAAAGAAGCACCGGCUAACUACGUG
rnacentral:rRNA from 1 species